rnacentral:rRNA from 1 species
GAUGAACGCUGGCGGCGUGCCUAACACAUGCAAGUCGAACGGAGUCCAGCCUUUAAGACCUUCGGGUCAAAGAGGGGAAGACUGAGUGGCGGACGGGUGAGUAACACGUGGGCAACCUGGCUCAUAGAGGGGGAUAACAGAGAGAAAUUUCUGCUAAUACCGCAUAAGCACACACUGCCGCAUGGCAGAGGGUGAAAAGAGAAUCGCUAUGAGAUGGACCCGCGUCUGAUUAGCCAGUUGGCAGGGUAAGAGCCUACCAAAGCGACGAUCAGUAGCCGAUCUGAGAGGAUGAACGGCCACAUUGGGACUGAGACACGGCCCAAACUCCUACGGGAGGCAGCAGUGGGGGAUAUUGCACAAUGGGGGGAACCCUGAUGCAGCGACGCCGCGUGAGUGAAGAAGUAUUUCGGCAUGUAAAGCUCUAUCAGCAGGGAAGAUAAUGACAGUACCUGAAGAAGAAGCCCCGGCUAACUACGUG